rnacentral:rRNA from 1 species
CACGUAGGGCGCGAGCGUUGUCCGGAAUUACUGGGCGUAAAGCGUGCGUAGACGGUUUUGUAAGUCGGAUGUGAAAUCCCCGGGCUCAACCUGGGAAUUGCAUUCGAGACUGCAAGGCUUGGGUGCGGAAGAGGGAAGCGGAAUUUCCGGUGUAGCGGUGAAAUGCGUAGAUAUCGGAAGGAACAUCAGUGGCGAAAGCGGCUUCCUGGUCCAGCACCGACGUUCAGGCACGAAAGCGUGGGGAGCAAACAGG